UACGGGGGGAGCAAGCGUUGUUCGGAUUCAUUGGGCGUAAAGGGUGCGUAGGCGGCGCGGUAAGUCGGGUGUGAAAUCUCGGGGCUUAACUCCGAAACUGCAUUCGAUACUGCCGUGCUUGAGGACUGGAGAGGAGACUGGAAUUUACGGUGUAGCGGUGAAAUGCGUAGAUAUCGUAAGGAAGACCAGUGGCGAAGGCGGGUCUCUGGACAGUUCCUGACGCUGAGGCGCGAAAGCUAGGGGAGCGAACGGG
rnacentral:rRNA from 1 species